UACGAAGGGGGCUAGCGUUGUUCGGAAUCACUGGGCGUAAAGCGCACGUAGGCGGAUCUUUAAGUCAGGGGUGAAAUCCCGAGGCUCAACCUCGGAACUGCCUUUGAUACUGGGGAUCUCGAGUCCGGGAGAGGUGAGUGGAACUGCGAGUGUAGAGGUGAAAUUCGUAGAUAUUCGCAAGAACACCAGUGGCGAAGGGCGA
rnacentral:rRNA from 1 species